ACCCACUAAGUGGGCAACCAUAAGAGAUGCAGAGACAGUCAUUUAAAGUUAUAGGUUCCAACCUUUAGAUAAUUCUCCAGGUGAAUACAAAUUUGGCCCUGGUAACAAGAUUCCAACUUCUAUCUAUGAAAACCUCCCACCUUGUAACAUGAAUAAGACAUGUUGGUAACACAAUGCUCUGUUAAUAAUAAUUAGGGGUAUUGAAAAAUGACAACCUACUUUAUGUGGUUGGAAGAGAG